rnacentral:tRNA from 1 species
AUUAAGUUAUUAUUUAAUCGAGGCUGCUAACUUUGAUUAGGGAUAUAAUAUUCCACUUAAUU